rnacentral:rRNA from 1 species
CUCGAUCGCUAUAGGGGUAGGGCUAAGCCAUGGGAGUCGUACGCUCUCGGGAAGAGGGAGUGGCGGACGGCUGAGUAACACGUGGCUAACCUGCCCUUGGGAUCCGGAUAACCCUGGGAAACUGGGGCUAAUCCGGAGUAGGUAAGGGGCUCUGGAACGACUCCUUGCCUAAAGGCCCCUCGGCUGAUCCCGUCGGGGGGCGCCCAAGGAUGGGGCUGCGGCCCAUCAGGCUGUUGGCGGGGUAAAGGCCCGCCAAACCGAUAACGGGUAGGGGCCGUGGGAGCGGGAGCCCCCAGUUGGGCACUGAGACAAGGGCCCAGGCCCUACGGGGCGCACCAGGCGCGGAACGUCCCCAAUGCGGGAAACCGUGAGGGCGUUAUCCCUAGUGCCCUCGCAAGAGGGCUUUUCCCCACUUUAGAACGGUGGGGGAAUAAGCGGGGGGCAAGACUGGUGUCAGCCGCCGCGGUAAUACCAGCCCCGCGAGUGAUCGAGACGUUUAUUGGGCUUAAAGCGCCCGUAGCCGGCCCGUAAAGUCACCGUUUAAAGACCCGAGCUCAACUCGGGGAGUGGCGGUGAUACUUACGGGCUAGGGGGCGGGAAAGGUCGGAGGUACUCCCGGAGUAGGGGCGAAAUCCUCAGAUCCCGGGAGGACCACCAGUGGCAAAAGCGUCCGGCUAGAACGCGCCCGACGGUGAGGGGCGAAAGCCGGGGUAGCAAAAGGGAUUAGAUACCCCUGUAGUCCCGGCUGUAAACGAUGCAGGUAAGGUGUCCGCGUGGGCUUUGAGCCACGCGGUGCCGCAGGAAAACUGGUAAGCCCGCCCCCUGGGGAGUACGGCCGCAAGGCUGAAACUUAAAGGAAUUGGCGGGGGAACCCCACAAGGGGUGGAACCUGCGGCUCAAUUGGAGUCACGCCGGGAAUCUCACCGGGGAAACCCAGGAUGACGCCAGGCUAACAACUUU